rnacentral:rRNA from 1 species
UACGGGAGGCAGCAGUGGGGAAUAUUGCACAAUAGGGCGCAAGCCUGAUGCAGCCAUGCCGCGUGUAUGAAGAAGGCCUUCGGGUUGUAAAGUACUUUUCAGUCGUGAGGAAGGUGUUAAGGUUAAUAACCUUAGCAAUUGACGUUAGCGACAGAAGAAGCACCGGCUAACUCCGUGCCAGCAGCCGCGGUAAUACGGAGGGUGCGAGCGUUAAUCGGAAUUACUGGGCGUAAAGGGCACGCAGGCGGUUAAUUAAGUUGGAUGUGAAAUCCCCGGGCUUAACCUGGGAAUGGCAUUCAAGACUGGUUAGCUAGAGUCUUGUAGAGGGGGUAGAUUCCAUGUGUAGCGGUGAAAUGCGUAGAGAUGUGGAGGAAUACCGGUGGCGAAGGCGGCCCCUGGACAAAGACUGACGCUCAUGUGCGAAAGCGUGGGGAGCAAACAGGGAUUAGAUACC